rnacentral:rRNA from 1 species
CUACGUGCCAGCAGCCGCGGUAAUACGUAGGGUGCGAGCGUUAAUCGGAAUUACUGGGCGUAAAGCGAGCGCAGACGGUUACUUAAGCAGGAUGUGAAAUCCCCGGGCUCAACCUGGGAACUGCGUUCUGAACUGGGUGACUAGAGUGUGUCAGAGGGAGGUAGAAUUCCACGUGUAGCAGUGAAAUGCGUAGAGAUGUGGAGGAAUACCGAUGGCGAAGGCAGCCUCCUGGGAUAACACUGACGUUCAUGCUCGAAAGCGUGGGUAGCAAACAGGAUUAGAUACCCUGGUAGUCCACGCCCUAAACGAUGUCAAUUAGCUGUUGGGCAACUUGAUUGCUUAGUAGCGUAGCUAACGCGUGAAAUUGACCGCCUGGGGAGUACGGUCGCAAGAUUAAAACUCAAAGGAAUUGACGGGGACCCGCACAAGCGGUGGAUGAUGUGGAUUAAUUCGAUGCAACGCGAAGAACCUUACCAAGGCU